rnacentral:lncRNA from 1 species
GUGGUUGAGAGACAGAACAGUUUGACUUGAGCACUAACUUUCUCAUUCUUAGCAAGUUUCAUAUCAGAGGUUUUGUGAUAUUUUCAAAAGAAAGCUUAAAUGUUCCUCUUAUGGUUCUCUCAUGUCACUCAAAUGGUGUAUGAUUCCUCACCAAGGCAUAUGGUAAGAGUUGCCUUCUCUAUUUCAUCCUAUUUCUAAAAGGCUUAUGUGGAGUUCAAGGUAGGGAUGAAAGGAGAUAGCAUACUUACUUUGCAUAUAUUGCGAAGUCAAAGCUCGGAUCCUUGAAGAGAAGUGUCAUACUCCCAGAUCAAGAUGUGCAAGUGUGAUAUAUGGUGGACUAGGUUGCUCCUUUAUUUGAUAGACUCUCUAUGUAUUGAGACAUGGCUAGCAUUUUUUUCUUCUUUUUUUUUCUUUUUUUUUAAUAUAUGAGCUUUCAUGUGCUCAAUUUUCUUUUUCUGUGGACUUGCACAUGUCCAUCUUUUUAUUUCAUUUUGCCUAGCCUUUUGAUGUCUCAUUUACCAAAUAAUGCUUAGAGAGAUGUUCUAACAUUUAGAGUAUGGAGCAACCUAUUUAGUGGAUGCGAAAUACAUGUGGUUGCGUACUUCCAGUGUAGAAGCAGCAUAUAUAUAUGUGGUGUGUACGUGAUCUUGAUCUUAGGAGCAUGAAAAGUCUCUUAACAAGGGUCAACAAGACUUGACGACACUCAACCCAAAGCAAAUAGCUUAUGUGGAAAGGUUGCAAUUAUGUAAAGUAGAUAUGGCUGUGGUAGGAAUUCAUCACCAUUGAGGAACAAUUAAGGUUUUGAUCAUUUUAAGAAUAAAUCUCUGAUAAUCAUGCAUGCUUAGAAAAAUAUUAUAGUAGCUCUUGUCUUACUAUCUCAUGUCCCACAACAACUUAGACUUAGUUCUAGCACUUGCAACCCACAAAGUUUUUAGGUUCAUGGCAGUUUAAGUGAGCUAAGUGAUCCAUACUUAGAGAAAUACUAAGUUGUAUACUAGGCACUAGAGAAACAUUAACAAGCAACUAGUCAUCAUUUCCAUGAGGGAUAUAAACAUACAUGAAGCAUAUAUGCUAAAGGGAAAUGCUAAUAAAUAUUUAUUUUUUUUUUAAGUAAGAAUGAUAAACUGCAUGAAAAUAAAUAGGAUAGAAUACUUACCUUAGUGGGGGAGAGGAUCUCCCCCAAGCU